rnacentral:lncRNA from 10 species
GUUGAAUGUGGCUUGAGCCUUGACACUUUUAUUCUGAGGUUCCAGCUAGCCCUAAGCAGGAAUUUCUGAGAUGGAUAUGUCUCAUUGAUCUUGGAUUUGAUCUGCAGCUAUAAGUUACAAAAGAGGGAGGUCUUACUGUGAAAUACAUCAGAAUAUGAGCGUCUUAGCCUCUGGAUUACUGCUCAAUGAGGAAAGCUAUGAAAUGCAUGGAUAACUUGCUAAUCAGUAUUUGCCAUAUGUGCUAGCAGCAUCAGCAUCAGUUGGGAGAUUAUGGUGGCCUCCAUGUCAGACCUCCUAAAUCGGAAUAUCAGAGAAGGUGGCCCAGGUUACCAUGCUUCAUCUGCCAAUGCAUUGAAAACUUGGAAUGUAAAUUAAUUCAACCAUUGUGGAAGAUGGUGUAGUGAUUCCUCAAAGACCUAGAAGCAGAAAUAUCAUUUGAUCCAGAAAUCCCAUUACUGUGUAUACACCCAAAGGAAUAUAAACCAUUCUAUUACAAAGAUACAUGCGUGCGUAUGUUCAUUGCAGCAUUAUUCACAAUAGUAAAGACAUAGAGUCAACCCAAAUGCCCAUCAAAGACAAACAAUAUGUGGUACAUAUACACCAUGGAAUACCAUGCACCCAUAAAAAGGAACAAGAUCACAUUUUUUGUAGGGACAUGGAUGGAGCUGGAAGGCAUUGUCCUCAGCAAAAUAACAUAGGAACAGAAAACCAAACACCCCAUGUCCUCACUUAUAAGUGGGAGGUAAACAAUGAGAACACAUGGACACAGGGAGAGGAACAACACACAUUGGGGCCUGUUGGAGGGUGGGGUGGGGGAGAGAGAGCAUUAGGAAAAGUAGCUAACUCAUGCUGGGCUCAAUGCGUAGGUGAUGGGUUGAUAGGUGCAGCAAACCACCAUGGCACAUGGUUACCUAUGUAACAAGCCUGCACAUCCUGCACAUGUACCCCAGAACUUAAAAUAAAAAUAAAAAUUUAAAAAAACUC